rnacentral:rRNA from 1 species
AUACGGAGGGUGCAAGCGUUACUCGGAAUCACUGGGCGUAAAGCGCGCGCAGGCGGCUAUUUAAGUUGGAUGUGAAAGCCUACGGCUCAACCGUAGAACUGCAUCCAAAACUAUUUAGCUAGAGUGUGGGAGAGGAAGAUGGAAUUAGUUGUGUAGGGGUAAAAUCCGUAGAGAUAACUAGGAAUAACAAAAGCGAAGGCAAUCUUCUGGAACACUACUGACGCUGAGGCGCGAAAGCGUGGGGAGCAAACGGGAUUAGAAACCCCAGUAGUCC